AGCGAGGCCUGAGACGGAGGAGGCGUGGCAACUAGGAGCCAGGUUUACCUGCCUCUGCAGCUCCAUAUGAAGCCUUUGCUGAUCACCCAGUCUUACUGGGCUUAGCUUAGUCCCCUCCAGCCUCCUUGCUUUCCAACCUUCCUUGGACACAUGGCUCCUCGCUCAGCUUGCUGUGGCGUGAAGAGGCACGAGGGUUGUCACAGACAGCGUGCAGUAAGCACCAACACUGCUCUCCCACUAAAGCCUUUAGACUGUUCCCUCUCUUCACCACAUUGAACCAGUGGCUUCUCUAUGAAGAAUGAUUUUCAGAAACAAAACUCAGGAGAAACACGUUCUGUCUCAGCUCCAGUGCUCACCUCACUAUUGUGUGACUUUACCCAGGAGAAUGUAGAGAAGCAUCUAUUCAGACAAACCCUGACAGAAGGAAAAGAGAAUCCUACCGGAGCCCAGCACAGUGAAUCAGUGCGUGUGGACUACAGCAGCUAUUCUAUGGGGAAACCCACCACCCCUAGUCGAUUGCUCACCUCUUACAUAAUGUAGGUGUAAGGAACACAUGGUCCCAGAAGACACUUUUCCCGGUGCUUCAAAGCUACCUGCCGCCACAGCCCUGGACCACAUCUGCGGCCCCAGAUAACUAUGGAAACCAAGCCAUACAGAGUGUGUGUGCACGUGUGCGGAUGAUAAGGGAAGCCCAUGAAGUAAUGUAUGAAACACCCUAGUUGUAAUUGGCUGAAUUUAGUUUAAAAACCCCUGGUCUGGCACGGCAACUCAUUCACCCCUGGGCCCAAUGGAGAUGUGUAGUGUUGAGAGAUGACUCCACACAGACGCCCAAAUGGACACUACUGCCCAGACGAGACAAACCUGCAUCGCUGAGGUCUAGCUCCAGCGGAAUCCAAAAUCAGCAGGAAGGAGUCUAGAACCUUAUCUGAGCGCAUCAAGCCAGCCAGAUCAGAGGUGCCCUAGCUAUGCUGGACAAAAGGAUUCUCCAUCGAUCGGUGCAGCCCCUGAAGAUGCGGCUUCAGCCAGGACUGUUUGCACCACACACACAGAGGCCAAGUGCAGAUGACCCCAAGGCCAGUUCUUCCUGGGCCAGAGAGUCAACUCCUCACUCCCAAGCUCGGGGGCAGUGACAAUGGUUACAGUCAGAGGCUGAGGAAUUCUGACACCUGGGUUCUCAGAUGCUGCCAGAGGCUGUGGAAUUUUGACUUCUCAGACAUAAGACCUUCUACUCAAGGUCAAGAGCCACAGGUCUGACACUGCAGGUCUGCAUAGCAGCUGGAAGACCUGUAGAGUGAAGAGUCCUGGGCUUGGGAGAUGGCUCGGUGGGUAAAGGUCUUACCAUGGAAACAUGAGGACCCCAGGAAUGCUGGGCAUAACAGCGAUUUCUGUAAUUCCAUCACUCCUGUGUUGAGAUGGAUGGUAGAGACAGGAGAAUUCUUUGAAGCCCAUGGGCUGGCUGGCUUCAUAUAUGCAGCACUGAAUAUGAGGGACUUUGCCUUGAACAUGGUGGGAGGUGAGGACUGAGAGCUAACAUUGUCCUUUGACAUCUACAUCAGUGACAAGACACAACAGCACACGAUAAAAAAACAAAACAGAUGGAUCUGGAGAGAUGGCUCAGUGGUUAGAAGCACCACUGACCUUGCAGGAGACUCAAGUUUGGCUCCCAGCUCACAAAUGCCUGUAACUCCAGGGGCUCAGAUGCCCUCUUCUUGUUAUUAGACGCGUUCUCACGACCGGCCAGGAAAGACGCAACAAACCAGAAUCUUCUGCGGCAAAGCUUUAUUGCUUACAUCUUCAGGAGCCAGAGUGCAAGAGAGCAAGCAAGGAAAUGGCGAAACCCCAUCCCUUUUUAAGGAGAAUUAUCCUCCACCUAGGACGUAUUACUCCCUGAUUAGCUGCAGCCCAUCGGCCCAGUUGUCAUCACGGGAAAGGCAGAACACAUGGUGGGAAAACUGCCCCUGCAUGUGUGCAGACUAUGUUUACCACUUAGAACACAGCUGUCAGUGCCAUCUUAUAAUGGCAAAUGUGAGGGCGGCUCCUCACAUCUUCUGGUUCUCUGGACACCUGCAAUGUGCCCCUAGUGCAUGUGUGCGUGCACACACACACACACACACACACACACACACACACACACCAGUUAGUUUUAAAAUGCCUCAGCUAGCUCAAAGUCUGGGCAGUUCUAAUCCUCCCCUUGGCUAGUACACAUUUUCCUCCUAUAAUUCUGGCUUAACGCCCUCUAGUUCUAUAUUUUAUUUUUGUUGCCCUGGUUCCUUCUGGGUGGCUCCCUAGUCUUUGCUGCACAAGAUGCUUCUGGAUAGCCUUUCCAGGGGCCCAUAUUCCUUCUCACCUACAUUUCGGAUAGUUUUUCCUUCUGCAGCUCUAUAUCCGAUCCAUCUCCCUCUGAAUUAUGGCAAUUCUCUGUUUUCCCUUCUCUCAGUUGCUAGCCCAUGCAAAUCUAAAGGUCCUGCUUCAGUCUGCCUUCCCAACCACUGGUCAUUGUCUCUUUAUUGACCAAUCAAAAGCCAGUUGGGGACAAGAACCUUCAGCAUUUGGACAUGCAGAUUCCCAAUUUUGAGGGCUGGAUUAAUUGGAAGCCUUGGAACCAAUCCCCAGCAUCAUCUUUUCUGUCCAAAUUUUAAAAAAGGCUCUUCUGUCAGACAUAAAUUGAGCAUAACCAUAACAGUUAUGUAAAUUACAAAGUACGAUAUGCAAUUAACAUCCAGUCUGUCAUAUUUGGCAAUUUAGAUAAAGUAUUCUAUUAUCUAUCUUAGCUUAAUGAGUUACAAUUCUGUACCUAAAUCAUGUUUGAUUUCAACUUGUAUUACCAUCUGAAAACCGUCUUUUGAAUCUAGAACACCUUUAAUGCUAAACAGCUUACGUUCAAUUGUGAGGUUAUAAUUAGUCUUCAACCUCGUCAGUCAGAGAUUUGAUAAGGAAUUAAAUAUUACCUGAGUAUGUAGGAAGAACACAGACGCAGCUUCCAAAACCUUUUCUUCCCUGUUCAAAACGAUACCAUCUCCAAGUUAUCCCUUAAAAUGACAGCCCAUCUAUAAUUUGUAAAAUAAUCAUAACCAGACACUCAAACGCAAGGAAUCAGACUGAUGACGCCCAUGGCUUCCUCCUGCCGGAUAGGGAUGAUAAGAAAUUCUUUAAAGGGGUGGGGAGGGGAAGGAAGAUUAGAAAAAGUGCUAGGCUUAAGACAGGUAGAUUUAGCAUCUGUUACCCAUUUUCUGUUCAGGGCUGAACUGAGGUUCUGACUGGGUCCGUCUGAAAGGCUGGAUGAACCAAAUCCACAGGGAAUCAGUGGCAUCCCUGAGGCUGUUCUAGAAGUGAGGCUCUGGAAGCACCAGGAAGCAGGGGGCCGGAGCGGCAGGUCAGCUCAGUGUCCCAGCAGAUGAAUCAGGGUCGUACAAUCUGCAACGUAUGAAUCACAAGCAGAAUUUCUGUACUAUUAAGAUAUUCGUAUCCAUUGUGCAGGGUGCACAGAUCAGUUAAGGAUGAAAUCUGUUCCUUGUUUGAGCAGGUAAAAGACAAUUGUCUUUUUUAUGAAUUAUUUUUAACAAUAACCAAUUGUGUGAUAAAUCUCCAUUCAUGAUAUAUGAAGGAGGGCAUGAAAAAUCUUAAGGAUUCCAUAACCAACAAGAUUUACUGUCUAAUUUUAGCUGAAGUUUUAGUUAGAGACAUUUUUAUGUCUAAGUCAGUUACUGGACUCUUCCCAUGUUGAGGAAUCAGCAGAUCAAGUUGCCUGUCCUGUUCAAUUUUCUCGAAUUUUUCUUUGCUGUAGUCAAGAUCCUCAGAGGGUCUCUCCUGUCCUACCUGAUCCAUAUCACUGUGGAAGGGGUCCAAAGCCUCUUCCCUUUUCCCGUCAGCACAAAUGCAGAGCUUUCUCCCAGGAACUGGAAAGCGUUAAAGGUACAGCUUGACCUCUCUCGCAGAGGAGCUAUAACUGCCACACUCAUAGCCACACGAAUUUUGAUAAUUAAAGCAAUUCAAAGCAGUUAAAGCAAUCUAAACAAACAUUAACCAUUGAGACAGUGCUUCUUCACCAUCUCCUGCUUUUUGACCUAUACUUUAAGAUCAAUAUUUUACACAUCUAUGUAUAGUCAAAUCAUGCCUACUAUGGAGAGGAGCUCUGUGAGUACUUAUGAUAGUAUGUCACUUUCUCUUUAUGUAAUUCUCAAGGCCUAAGUUUCUAUUCUCUGAGAUAGGUUAGACUCCCUAUCCCUUGCUUUUUAAUCUAAUUUUUAAGGAUAGGAAACCUCAGUAUUGUCUAUGUCUACUUACUGUAUAAGUCUAUUUUCAGGCUCAAUUUUGUCAUACCAGGCUAAACAAUCACAGAAAUCUCAUGUGGACUAUGUUCAAAGAUUUUGAGAAUUUGCCCUGGCAAGACUUUUAAAUUUCUCUAAAGAAAUUUUUUUUUUUCAUUCAGUCUCCCUAACUUCUUUCCUCUGUAUACUUAAGAACAUUUAAGCAAUUACCAUUAUACUCUCUUCUAUCCUUAAAAGGAAUUAAAUACAAAUUUAUAAAAAUU